UACGGAGGGGACUAGCGUUGUUCGGAAUUACUGGGCGUAAAGCGCACGUAGGCGGAUUUGUAAGUCAGGGGUGAAAUCCCGAGGCUCAACCUCGGAACUGCCUUUGAUACUGCAAAUCUCGAGUCCGGAAGAGGUGAGUGGAAUUCCUAGUGUAGAGGUGAAAUUCGUAGAUAUUAGGAAGAACACCGGUGGCGAAGGCGGCCCACUGGAUCGGUACUGACGCUGAGGUGCGAAAGCGUGGGGAGCAAACAGG
rnacentral:rRNA from 1 species